rnacentral:rRNA from 1 species
UACGAAGGGUGCAAGCGUUACUCGGAAUUACUGGGCGUAAAGCGUGCGUAGGUGGUUCGUUAAGUCAGGUGUGAAAUCUCCACGCUCAACGUGGAGGCGCCACCUGAAACUGCCGUGACUCGAGUCCGGUAGGGGAGUGUGGAAUUCCUGGUGUAGCGGUGAAAUGCGCAGAUAUCAGGAGGAACACCAGUGGCGAAGGCGGCACUCUGGGCCGGUACUGACGCUGAGGCGCGAAAGCUAGGGGAGCAAACAGG